ensembl:lncRNA
AUGGAGGCAUUGGUUGGAGGGAGCAAGGCUUCCAUUCCAGGUCAUCACGGACCACAAGAACCUGGAAUACCUGAAGAUGGCAAAGAGACUCAAUCCCUGUCAAGCCCGGUGGGCUUUAUUCUUUACCUGUUUCAACUUUACCAUUUCCUACCGACCCGGAUCCAAAGUGUCAAGGCAGAUGCCCUCUCCCAUUGUCAUGCCCCUGAAACCAUCUCUGAGGAACCGGAAACUAUACUCCCAGAGAGACUGUUGGUCAGCCCUAUUACCUGGUCCGCUGAGACCAUACCCUCCUCCAAUGCCUCAGCCAAUACUCCGCCGGGUUCCCCCCCUGACCGACAGUACAUCACCAGGACACGACGCACUCCAAUCAUCCACGCUGCUCACACCUCACUAGGCACUGGCCACCCGGGGGUCAAUGAAACCCUCUCGUUGCUAAAAGAACGCUUCUGGUGGCCCAACAUGGCAUCCGAGGGCAGAAGGGACGUGCAAGGAUGUAAGGAAUGCGCCAUCUCGAAAAGCCCCCGUCAUCUACCAUCUGGCAAGCUCCUACCUCUGCCCGUUUCCAACCGACCAUGGUCACACCUAGGAGUGGACUUUGUAGUCGACCUCCCUAUGUCAGGUAACUGCACCUCUAUAUUCAUGGUAGUGGAUAGAUUCUCUAAAUCCUGUCGUUUGAUUCCUCUCAAGGGACUACCGACUGCCAUGGAAACUGCCGAAAUCAUGUUCGGUCACAUCUUCCGGUACUUUGGCAUCCCCAAGAUAUCGUAUCAGAGGACCUCAAUUCAUCUCUCGGGUAUGGAAGGCCUUCCACUCUCUCCUAGGUGUGGCCGUCAGCCUAUCAUCGGGGUACCAUCCGCAGUCGAACGGGCAGACGGAAAGAAAGAUCCAGGAGAUCGGUCGCUUCCUCCGUACCUUCUAUCACGGCCACCAGGACUCUUGGAACCAGUUCCUUGGGUGGGCCGAGUACGCACAGAAUUCCCUGCGACAACCAUCCACCGGACUUACCCCAUUUCAGUGCAUACUCGGCUACCAACUGCCACUAUUCCCCUGGUCAGGAGAGCCCUCGGACGUACCAGCGGUGGACUACUGGUUCCGAGAGAGCGAGAGGGUCUGGGACUCAGCCCACCACCAGUUACAACGGGCCCUUCGGAGAUGCAGAAUGACAGCCGACCUUCGCCGCUCUGUAGCUCCUACAUAUCAACUUGGACAGAAGGUCUGGCUGUCAACCAGAGACAUCUGCCUGCGUCUCCCAUGCCGGAAGCUGAGUCCCAGGUUCAUUGGCCUGUUCACCAUCACGGAGCAGAUCAACCCCGUCACUUACAGGCUUCAACUCCCACCUGA